AACGAACGCUGGCGGCAUGCCUAACACAUGCAAGUCGAACGAAGCCUUCGGGCUUAGUGGCGCACGGGUGCGUAACGCGUGGGAAUCUGCCCCUUGCUUCGGAAUAACAGUUAGAAAUGACUGCUAAUACCGGAUGAAGUCUUCGGACCAAAGAUUUAUCGGCAAGGGAUGAGCCCGCGUAGGAUUAGGUAGUUGGUGGGGUAAAGGCCUACCAAGCCGACGAUCCUUAGCUGGUCUGAGAGGAUGAUCAGCCACACUGGGACUGAGACACGGCCCAGACUCCUACGGGAGGCAGCAGUGGGAAAUAUUGGACAAUGGACGCAAGUCUGAUCCAGCAAUGCCGCGUGAGUGAUGAAGGCCUUAGGGUUGUAAAGCUCUUUUACCAGGGAUGAUAAUGACAGUACCUGGAGAAUAAGCUCCGGCUAACUCCGUG
rnacentral:rRNA from 1 species